AUUUUUAAAUUUUUAAAAAUAAAUUUACCCUUUUAUAAAAUGACUUCUAAGGACUUGGAGCAUCUGCCAAUAAGCUCCCUUAACCACUUUACAAAUUUUAAGGAAUAAUUGGAAAAAAAAAAAAGAAAAAAAGAAAAAAAAGGGGGUCUUUAUUAAUAUACCCAAAAUAGUGGUGAAAUUAUUAUUUUAAAAAAAAACAGGGAAUGCACUUUAGAAACACACCCAAAACUCAUUAAUUAUAUAAGAAAUUAGUGUUUAAGUUCCUAUAAAUGAUGUGACUGCCAUUGAAAGAAGUCCAACACAAAAAAACUUCAAAAAAUCCAAAACAAGCCCAACCCAAUUUUAU
rnacentral:lncRNA from 1 species